rnacentral:lncRNA from 12 species
CCCCCCCCCCCCCCCCCCCCCCCCCCCCCCCCCCCCCCCCCCCCCCAUGGGGCUCUUGCUGCCGAGCGGGAGCCGAGGUCGCACGGCCGGCGUGUGCGGGAACUGUGACAGAAACGGGAGGGAGGCGUUAACAUUCGGGAUGUUUGUUAAGUAGAAACAACGAUUACAGAAGAACCCGCCGAGGAGCGUUUGGGUUGGGGAUGCGCACACCCGCAGGCUUCAGCCGCGGUUCCGCCCCUCGGGGACCGAGGACACGGCCGGGGCCCCCUCGGGGAGCGGGUCCCGGGACCGCAAGCAGGGCCCCCCCGCAGGUCUGAGCUGCCGGAGUUGCCUUCUCAGAAGAUUGAGGUGUCCCAUACGGUGCCACCCAGUUUUCCAAAGUAAAGAAGCCAGAAGAUGAUGGGUACUGGAAUUAAUUUGCUGUAAAUUCUGCUGAGGAAUCUCAGUCCAGCAGUGUUAAUAUGCUGUUGUUUAAUCUGGUGAAGUUGUAAUAUAAAUUGAUUUUAAAAAAACAGAAUGAGGAAUGUAAACAGCUUUAUAAUUGCCCUUCCAAAAAGAAGGUCAAGUUCUUUUUGAAAAGAGUUUACAGGUAACCUUUUCAUUGCUUUGCUAGGGUCUUAUGGCCUGCAUUUAACACCAAUAGCCUGUGAUUUCAUGUGAUGCAAGAUCUGUCUUCUAUCAUGCUG